CCUACGGGCGGCAGCAGUGAGGAAUAUUGGUCAAUGGACGCAAGUCUGAACCAGCCAUGCCGCGUGAAGGAAGACGGCUCUAUGAGUUGUAAACUGCUUUUGUACGAGGGUAAACGCAGAUACGCGUAUCCUUCUGAAAGUAUCGUACGAAUAAGGAUCGGCUAACUCCGUGCCAGCAGCCGCGGUAAUACGGAGGAUUCAAGCGUUAUCCGGAUUUAUUGGGUUUAAAGGGUGCGUAGGCGGUCGGAUAAGUUAGAGGUGAAAUCCCGAGGCUCAACUUCGGAAUUGCCUCUGAUACUGGUCGGCUAGAGUGUAGUUGAGGUAGGCGGAAUGUGUGGUGUAGCGGUGAAAUGCUUAGAGAUCAUGCAGAACACCGAUUGCGAAGGCAGCUUACCAAGCUACUACUGACGUUGAGGCACGAAAGCGUGGGGAGCGAACAGGAUUAGAUACCCGGGUAGUC
rnacentral:rRNA from 1 species